CACUUCUUGAACCCCUACUGUGUACCAAACAAUGGAAAUACAACAUGAGGAACCUUCAGCUCCCAGUCUGAAGAAGGGGCAAGCAACCAGCUUCUGCCAUGCAAGAACAGAUAUGGUGCAGGAGAUCCAUUUCUACCCAAUGAGCUACAAUUUCUGCCACUGGAAAGUUUCCAGCCUGGAGGGGGAUAAGGCAGCUACAAAGUCAAACCCUAUGUGCCAAAGAGACAAGAACAUAAAUGCUGUGGGACUUUGAGAGAGAGAGCAGGAAGGUGAGCUUGGGGAGGCAAAAAGAGAAGACCAAUGAGAUAGCAUUUAUCCAGCCAGCAAGAAUUUUACAGCUGCCAUCACUCAUUCCCUGUCUUUUUUUUUUUUUUUUUUUUUUUUUUUUUUUUUUUUUUACCAUCAACAGAUGCUUUCCCAAAUGGAGAAUAUUGGCCUCCAAGACUUUACAAAUCCAAGUGAGAAAUAACCCCUACUGUCUGGGUAGGAAAAAAGGAACAAAAUACUUUGGGCCUCUUUGUGGUAGAGGCUUCCAGCACCAAGACUUAACAUUUGGACAAUAUCAAGAAUGUGAUGCCAGGCACCUGAUUGGUUGGACUGGAAGGUGAGGCAGCAUAUUAGCAUUCAAAUCUCUGGAUCGUGAAAUGGUGGUUUUUAGCCUCAGUGUAAAUCUAAGAAAAACAACUUGAGAAAUGGAUAGAAUUUUCUUUGGAACGCCUUCACCUGCCUUUUCAGAAACUCCCGUGAGGUAGUAUGAUGUAGUGCAAAGACCACAGGCUUUUGAGUCAAAAAGUUGACUUGACUUCCAUUUUGGACACCUGCUGUGUGACUUUGGGUAAGUUACAUAACCUCUCUGAACCUCAAUUUCUUCAUCUGUAAAAGAGGCCUAACAUUAUCUACUUUACAGGGAAGCUGUGAGAAUUAUGGAUAAAUGGAUGUAAAAUGUGAGUUCCGUCACAGACAUUCAGUUAAUGGUACCGUAUUGUUUUUAUAACUGCCUCUUUCUCUUUAGCCCACUCCAUAUCUCCCAAUGUGAUCCCUAGCACACGGGCAGAAUUCAACAAAUGUUUGCUGAAUUACAUUAAACCUGGAGAUGGUUGAGUUCGUGGGACGAAGUAGUAAGACUAUACCAGAAUCCCCCCUUGGCAGGUCUGUCACUCAUCCUCAGGAGAGCUUCUCCACCUAACUUGUCCAAGCCAGACAACAAGGACCCACUUGUAACGUCUCCCUCCUCCUCUUCCUCAGAUCUGAUCAAUCGCCACAUUCUCUCCCUUCAAGUUCACAAUUAUCCCUAGAAUCCUUCCACUCCCUCCAAUUCCUACCACUACCACUUUAGUUCACAACUGUCUUCUCUUCCACCUUUUCUACAGCAAAGUCAGUUCUCUUCACAUCUGUUCUUACUCCUCUUGCUCCACAUCUUGUUCUCCUCCCUUUCUGUUCAUUGUAGCUGGAGGGAUUUUCUUUCUUUUUUUUCUUUUGAAUUGCGGAAGAAUUUAAAUAUUCACAAAAAUGGAGAGUAUCAUGUACCCGUCAUUCAGUUUCAACAAUGAUCGAUGAGUGGCCAGUUUUGCUCCUUAUAUAUUCCACCCAUUUUGUUCAAUGUUCUCAGAUUAUUUAACCCAAAUCCAGAAGUCCUAGCUUCUUGCAGGGAUCAUUUCCCGCAUUUAGAAUAAAAUUCUAAUUUCUUUGCGAUCUGAUCCCUGU
ensembl:lncRNA